AUGAACGCUGGCGGCGUGCCUAAUACAUGCAAGUCGAGCGAACGGACGAGAAGCUUGCUUCUCUGAUUUUAUCGGCGUACGGGUGAGUAACACUUUGAUAACCUACCUAUAAUUCUGGGUUAACUUCGGGAAACCGUAGCUAAUACCGGAUAAUUUUUUUAACCUCCUGGUUCAAAAGUUAAAUACGGUCUUUCUUUCACUUAUUGAUUUAUCCUCGCUGCAUUAGCUAGUUGGUAAGGUAACGGCUUACCAAGGCAACGAUGCAUAGCCGACCUUAGAGGGUGAUCGGCCACACUGGAACUGAGACACGGUCCAGACUCCUACGGGAGGCAGCAGUAGGGAAUCUUCCGCAAUGGGCGAAAGCCUGACGGAGCAACGCCGCGUGAGUGAUGAAGGUCUUCGGAUCGUAAAACUCUGUUAUUAGGGAAGAACAUAUGUGUAAGUAACUGUGCACAUCUUGACGGUACCUAAUCAGAAAGCCACGGCUAACUACGUG
rnacentral:rRNA from 1 species